rnacentral:tRNA from 32 species
GCGGGUGUGGCGGAACUGGUAGACGCACUGGAUUUAGGUUCCAGCGCCGCAAGGCGUGGAGGUUCGAGUCCUCUCACCCGCACCA